GUGGAUUAGAUACCCUAGUAGUCCACGCCGUAAACGAUGGAUGCUAGCCGUCAGCAAGCAUGCUUGUUGGUGGCGCAGCUAACGCAUUAAGCAUCCCGCCUGGGGAGUACGGCCGCAAGGUUAAAACUCAAAGGAAUUGACGGGGGCCCGCACAAGCGGUGGAGCAUGUGGUUUAAUUCGACGCAACGCGAAGAACCUUACCAGCCCUUGACAUGCCCGGACGGUUUCCAGAGAUGGAUUCCUCCUAGCAAUAGGUCGGGACACAGGUGCUGCACGGUGGUCGACAACU
rnacentral:rRNA from 1 species